GAGGGCAUAGCUCAGUGGUAGAGCACAUGCUUAGUAUGCACGAGGUCCUGGAUUUAAUCCCCAGUACCUCCA
rnacentral:tRNA from 1 species